rnacentral:rRNA from 1 species
UUGACCUACGGGGGGCAGCAGUGGGGGAUAUUGCACAAUGGGGGAAACCCUGAUGCAGCGACGCCGCGUGGGUGACGAAGUAUUUCGGUAUGUAAAGCCCUAUCAGCAGGGAAGAAUAAUGACGGUACCUGACUAAGAAGCCCCGGCUAACUACGUGCCAGCAGCCGCGGUAAUACGUGGGGGGCAAGCGUUAUCCGGAUUUACUGGGUGUAAAGGGAGCGUAGACGGCCAGACAAGUCUGAAGUGAAAAUCCAGCGCUUAACGUUGGAAGUGCUUUGGAAACUGCCGGGCUAGAGUGCAGGAGG